AUGAUAAACUGCACUGAAUACGAAUACCAAGACGAGCGGGACAUGUGUGCCCCGGAUGGACCGCAGCCGGUAUCGCUUUGCCGAAAAGAGUUCCUCAGAUCAACUUCAUUCAGAAUCGGAGAGAGAUGAUGAGUCUUCACCUUGGUAUAACUGCCUGCAUAUGUAACAGUAAUAAAGGAUUGCAUAAAAUACCUCUAAUACUUUUGCACAUUUGCUCUGGUAAGCUUGUCUGUAUAAAUGUAACUGGUAUUAUAGAUAAGAAUGGAAUUUUGAGACAUGGACAUGCUCAUUACUUUGGUUACUUUGAUGCAGUCUCUUUGGUCUGAUUAUAAGCAGAAUUUAAUGAAAUCUUGAAUAAAUGAAGUAAGUGUA